UCUUCCUCCUGCAGCUCCCAGAGCGGAGUGGUGCACAGGAGCUCAGAUUCCAACUCCUGGGGCCGUUCUGCCGGACAGCGGGCUGGCUCAAUCAUGGUAGAAGGUGGAGGAGUGACUGGGACCUAACAGAGCAGACGCGGGCCUAAGGGUAAGGCCCCGGCAGUGAGGUGGGUCCUACGACAUGUUUUGGCUAAGGGGCUGGGAGUAAGACGGCAAGAGUCAUUUCUGGCUGAAGCACAGAAGAGCAUGUGAGAGCUCCGCAAGUGCCGUUCAGCCUCCCCUUGGAGAUGAGAUGAUGGAGCCCCACUGCAGUUUUGAACACUGAGUCACUGCAAGGAAGACAACUGGAUGCAGAGUCUCUCAACAUAUAGUCUGGGCAAGAAAUAAAAUGUGUGUGUCAAAUAGCUGAGAUCUGAAGCUCAUUAGUGACUAUAGCAGAGAUCCACUCCACCCAAACCAGUGUACGUGGUAAACCACCAUUCAGGAGUCACCCCUUCUAGAAGCCUCCAACUAAACUCACAAACCAGGCCUGUGCUUCUAUAGCAUCCUGUGAUUUCAUUAUCUUCUUCUUCAACAUCCAUCAUUUCUUGACUACUGUCUAAAUGGCUUGCACACAUACUACAUGCCAUCUAAUCAUGAUCAUCAUCCUCCAAGAAAGAAAAGUGAAACCAAGGUAACAAGUAAGAAGACUGAAAGCCCUGAGAGGGUAGCUCCAGCAGAGUGGCAUGGACAGAUGGAAGGGGCUGCAAGGUAAGCAGACAGUUUGGAUCUUAUCCUUCAAUGAUUGUAUGAUGCCAAGCUCCAGAGAGAAGAGAGACUCAGGACAUCUAUGGGGCAAAGGCUAACUGAAAUGAUUGUACCUAGCUGACCUCCAGGUGCUUGGCUUCCAAGAACCUGUUGAAGGUGGUUACUUAUCUUUUCCCACUUAACUUGGCCUUAUUUAGGGCCCACUGAGACAGCUAGUUGGGUUCAAACUCAUUCUUUAUGGUCAGCUCAUGGCUUUUCCUGGGUUUUAAACCCGUAACCGAAGGCCACCUCCUUCUCUUCCCCACCAUCUCCAAGAAGACAGAGGAAGAGAGGGCACCCCUUCUUCCUUCAGACAGGG